rnacentral:lncRNA from 1 species
GCAAAAUCACAUCAAUAGCAUCCACUAACAGUCUGAUCUUUGAAGUGCACUGUGCCCCCGGCUUCAGAGAUCCAGAGACCUGGUAAAUCCAUUUCCCUGACAUCCACCUCUCCUAGAGUUGCCAGGUGAUAGCUUUUAGCCCAUUUCCUGGCAGAAAUCAGUGGGACAGGGCAACCAAGGAGAGUUGAAAAUAAAAGAGAGGAAAAGGUCUUCACUCAGGUGAAGGAUUACAUUUUACCAAAUCCCUUUUUGUUAGCUUAUCAAGCAUUUUUGUCUCACUGAGUGGGAGCCCAGAUGCUGUUAAGGCCAACAAUAUCUCACCUUCUUUCCAUGCUCCCUAUUCCUCUUGGCAACUACUGUCUUUGAUUGUGUCCCCAAGGGCUUUGUUUUAGAGCUGGGGUGCAAAGAAGCACUUGCUGGCUUGGAGAUGGAGAGAGCUGGAAAAGAGGAAAAAAUGAAGACCACUGGGAACAGGGAAUCUGACUGCAUUCAAACUACCCAGUUGGAGAAUUCAGCUACCUUUGGAAAAGCUGCUAUCAAAAAAGGAAGAGGAGCUCUCCUAUCCUGCACAGGAGUUUGAAUAUGGCCUGCGGUGGCCAUCAUCACCUCUUCACAGCUAAGAAUGCCAGAGUAGGUGUGGUGCCACCUCCUUCAGAUACUUUUAGCAUUUGUGAAUUCACUAUUGUAGAAGAUGAGAGAAUGGAUUUUAGCAUGUUCAUGCUUGUUUUCAAAGUAAAACCAUUUGAUUUAGCCUAC